rnacentral:lncRNA from 1 species
CGGGGCCGCACAGCGCUGCCCCUUUAAGGCAGCGCAGCCCCGCGCGCAUUCCGGCGGCCGCGUCAGCGUUCCGGGAAGCGGUGGCGUCACCCCGCCAUCCCUCCCUCCCUCCCUCGCUCGCUCGGUGCCGCCGCCGUCCCGCGGCGGGGCGGGCCCGGCGAACAAAGGCGGCACAAACAUAGAAGGCAGGGUCCCGGCCGAGCUGAGGAGGUGGCGGAGUUUGCCUGCAGCUCUGUCCGCAGUGUGGUGAGGUGGAACAGCCGCUGGAUGUCCCUCCUGCGCCGCUCUCAUGGACAAGGAGCAGCUUCCGGAGGGACGAGCCUGCAGCUGGAGAAGGCAAAUGGACAGGGUAAGAACUUGCUAUUCACAGAGUUCCUCCUUUGGCUCCUGUGGUGUAAAGCUACCUGUACCUGCUGCUACAUGGAAAAAAAAAAAACCUGCAAAAGAAUUAAAAUUCAAGAAGCCUGGAUUUAUUUGAAGUAAUACCAGUAGAGAUCUGGGAUAAUUCCAUUAGAAGCACUGCAGUCAUUCUUCUAAAAGGAUACCUAAAGAGACAUUCUCCAGGGCCUAGACAGUAAUCUUUGUUACAUUUUUAAGUGGGCAUCAAUUCCUUGCAGAUACUUUCCUUGACUUU